rnacentral:ncRNA from 1 species
AUCUUAUCCAGAGAGGUGGAGGGACUGGCCCUUUGAUACCUCAGCAACAGGCAUCUUUUGCACUGUGCUAAUUCCAGAAGCGUAACGCUUGAAGAUAAGAA